GUUAUAUGGUCAAGUGAAGAAGCGCAUACGGUGGAUGCCUUGGCAGUCAGAGGCGAUGAAAGACGUGGUAGCCUGCGAAAAGCUUCGGGGAGUCGGCAAACAGACUUUGAUCCGGAGAUGUCUGAAUGGGGGAACCCAGCCAUCAUAAGAUGGUUAUCUUGUACUGAAUACAUAGGUGCAAGAAGCGAACCAGGGGAACUGAAACAUCUAAGUACCCUGAGGAAAAGAAAUCAACCGAGAUUCCCAGAGUAGUGGCGAGCGAACGGGGACUAGCCCUUAAGUGGCUUUGAGAUUAGCGGAACGCUCUGGAAAGUGCGGCCAUAGUGGGUGAUAGCCCUGUACGCGAAAAUCUCUUAGUCAUGAAAUCGAGUAGGACGGAGCACGAGAAACUUUGUCUGAAUAUGGGGGGACCAUCCUCCAAGGCUAAAUACUCCUGACUGACCGAUAGUGAACCAGUACCGUGAGGGAAAGGCGAAAAGAACCCCGGCGAGGGGAG
rnacentral:rRNA from 1 species